UCUUAGCAUUCCAUUAUAUUAAUUUUCUAGAAUGUAUUGUCAAUUCUUCGAUUAACGCUUACUUUUUUUUUUUCCAGGUUUUUGCUGUUACAACCUUAGAUAUGCAGACGACACAACCUUGCUUGCUGAAAGUGAAGAUGACUUGAAGCACUUACUGAUGAAGGUAAAAGACUACUUCAGUAUGGAUUAUAUCUGAACAUAAAGAAAAAUCUUCACAACUGGACCAAUAAACACAUGAUAAAUGGAAAAAUAUUGAUUUUUAAAAAUUUUUCUUUUUUAGGCAGACCGUCAAUGUCGGGUGAACUUUCUAGAUUGUUUUAUUUGAGGACCGACGACCCCAACCAUCCUGCCACCCCUGUGUGGAUAAGACGCUCCUGCCAAUCUCACCGCGGAGUGGAGGAAGCCAGAGAACCUACCUCCUCUCUAGGUACCCAGGAAGAAGGAGAGAAGAUGAAGAGAGUAAACUCAUCAACCAGGUUUUUGCUGUUACAACCUUAGAUAUGCAGACGACACAACCUUGCUUGCUGAAAGUGAAGAUGACUUGAAGCACUUACUGAUGAAGGCAGACCGUCAUUGUCGGGUGAACUUUCUAGAUUGUUUUAUUUGAGGACCGACGACCCCAACCAUCCUGGU